GCUUUUUUAAUCGUAUCAUGUAAUCGUAUAUGUGCUCUUAAUAGUUAAGGUUAGUGAGAGUGACAUAACCAAAUAUCUUGAUUACAUCUUCUUCGUUCGGUCACCGUCUGCCGUUCCCCUCUUUCCCUGUCCGUCCGUCAGCAUCGAUAAGAUUAAAUUACCCACUCUGUUCUGGUCAUAGCAUCUUGAUUUCAAAGUGUUUGAUCCGCUGUCCAACAAGAUCAAGAGCGUUUUAGGAUGUUUUGUUGUGUACUGGGACUGUAGAACCCUUUUGGAUUAAUUGUAGUUGUUGGAUAUUGAGUUUCUAAUCCUUAUUCUUGGUGUAUGAAUAUGUUGGAACCGUUGUUUAAGGUUUGAAGUCGAUUUAGAUCAAGCCGCAAUUUCGGUAUUAACGGUGUCAUGGGACUAGUAGUGAUGGUGUUUCUGCAUUAGUUCAUGUUUCUAAAUGUUUUCAGUGUCAUAAUCAAAGCUUCAGAACUAGCAAUUUUGCCCUUAUUUUUAUUAACCUUUCUUUUGAAUGUUUCUUCGGUGAUCCCAAAUAGAAAAUUUAUUUUAAUUUGAACAAAUUGAUUCAAUGAUACUCAUGUUUCCUCGAAGCCCGCAUCCUUCCACCCAACCCAUAAACAACUCCUGUAUUUGCCCACCCUUUUGCUAUUCGCCUCUGAUUUUUCCUUUUUCCCACCUCCUCCUUGUUUUUGUUCAGCACCUUAAACACAGACAACAUUGGUUUUUCAGUUUGUGGAAUCUUUUGCUUCCUCCUCUCCUUUUUCAAGCCAGUGGAGUGUCGAUUUCUGGCUAAAACCAUGCUAUUCUCAGCACAAGAGUUGUGGGUAUGUUUUAUAGAUUCUUGGGGCGGGCUUAUUUUUAUGUAGUGGGAGUUUUGCUUCUGUCAUUGACAUUAAAAGUAGGAUAAUCUUGAAGCUUUUCUUCUUUUUCUUGAUUUCUUGAUGAUGUAGUACAGUUUUUCCUGUAAGUGGUGGUCUAAAUUCAUCAUAUGCUUAAUUUCUGCCGAAAGUUGCAUCCUGGGAAGUGGGAAGAUUAUGAGGCUACUGCAUUUCUUGUGAAGUUUUUCUCUUCAAGGAACAAUUUGAAGGUUGUUUGUUUUGUUUUGUCUGUCUUUGUGAAAUUAAAAUAUUCACAGAAAUGGUAAUCAUUUAUAUACUUUUAUAGUAUAGGAAACCUUGCUGUGUUUAUAUUUUCUGAAACAUCGAUGUUGGAAUCAUAAGAAGGUAGAUAUUGACCAUGAAAAUUUCUGUUUUUUUCUUCUGAAAUACCUCUGGAAUACAUUUUUGGCUCUAUCAAUUGUUGGGAUCAUAAGCAGGUAGAUAUUGUAUUAUGAAACCAACUUGAUUCUUGUGUUUUAGACCGGCCCGUUGGAUUCUCAAAGAUGACUUUCCCAUUUGAUAAGAACGUAGAUAUUGUAUUUGCUCUGUUUUAAACCAACAGAGCAAAUGUAGAUAUUGGAUUCUCAAAGAUGACUUUCCCAUUUGAUUUUUGAUUUCUUACUCCAUUUCAAAAGGUUUUUUUUUUUUUUUUGAAUUGCUUCACUUUGCUCUGUUUGUGCUUCAUUUCGAGGUUUGCAAUGUUUUGAACUGGAAAAGGAAAUAAGAGUUCUGUUGCUGAUUUGAUUGAAAUUUGUAUUUGGUACUAUCAUUAAUCUUUAUUUUCUUCUUUAUUCUAACAACAGUGAUAUUGAAGGCAGCAAUGCUUUUGCUUAGCAUUCAUAAUAUUUUUAGCUUAAAUCAACCAAUAAACUUCUAUUUUAAUUGUAAGGUUUUGAUCUUGGCAUCCAUAAUAUUUAAGAAUUGGAUGAAAUGGAGAUGUUAGCUUGUUUUGUGUUAAUGUGUUAAGAGAAAUAUAAGUCUUAAUGGUUAUUUUAUGGUUUUCUCCGUGAGUUAUUAUUUGAUAUAAUUACAAUGAAUCAUGAUAAAGUAGGGGAGGACGAACCGUAUGCAUACCUAAGUUUGUAUAAGAUUGGCCACAAGAUAAUUAAUCUUGGUUUCAUAAUACAAUAUCUAUCUUAACUUGAUUCUUGGAAAGAAUUGUUUCACUUUUGGUUAGAUUGUCUUUUCUCAAGGCGAAAUUGCAAAUUGUGUGGAAAGAUUUAUGUUCUCACAUUUCUAGUAGGAGUUGUUUGAUAAUAUUUUAUUUUUCAUAGGAUGACUUCAUCGUUUGCGAAUGAGACUUCAAAUCAAAGUCGUUCUAGUCCAGUAAGAUUGUUAGGAAAAAGAAAACCUAUUAAACCAGCUUCAUCAGCAUGGGACCAUUUUAUUAAAGUAGAAGGAUGUGAUCCUGAAUAUUCUAGGGCUGCUUGUAAGUACUGUGGGGUUAUGUAUGCCUAUGAUUUCAAGAGAAAUGGUACAACAAAUCUAAAAAGACAUAUAGAGAAAUGUAAGAAGUAUACAAAUAAGUCAGAAGAUUAUGUUGAAGGAGAGAGAGAUUUUGAAAGUAGUUUGAUGGUUGCAUCCUUCACUCAA